ACAUGAGAUCAUGGCCCUUGAUCUUGAUUACUAGUCAAUGUAUGUUAAACGUAUGGUUACGAUGCCAAGUCAACGAGGUUGUACCAUGUGCAAGUGUGUAUGCUGACUGCGUUGAGUUAGUAAGUUGAUUGGCUAGAGGGAGACCAUGCAGGCAUGAGGUGGCGUCUAACUGAGGAAGUACUUAAGCAAAAGUCCUCAAAAUUUCUUCACUUUUACAUUUCCGACCUCUCUCUUCAUCUCACUCUCUCUCACUCUUCUCUCUUCUUUCUUUCUUCGAUCACCCUUUUCCCCAGAAACCACCCUAAAGACCAUCGCUAUCCCUAGUUUCCGGUUGAAGUUCAACCAGAAACUUCAACCCCAACCCAGAACACGAUUAAUGUUCUUCAUGAACAUUCAUCCUCAAACCUAGAUCUUCAACAUUCAUGAACUCUAGCUCGGGUUCAACAUGAACCCUAACCUCCAAACCCAGAAAUGAAUAACUCUCACCUGGAUUCAACAUGAACCCCAACCCUCCAAACCCAUAAACAAUGAGCCCUAACCCUAACCCUAACCCUAACCUAAACCCAUAAAUUCCCUAAACCUACCCAAAUCGAAAUCAAACUACCUUCGAACCUUAAAUCAGAAUAUUCUCAAUCUUAAUUCCACAUCCAAACAAAGAAUCAAUCAUCAAACCUCUUGAAACCCUACACCCAUCUUAAUCCCAAACCCUAACCUCAAUCAUCAAACAAACACAACAAUAAUAACAUUAUAAACAAGCAACAAACAAAUGGUGGAGUUGUACCAACCUACGGAGAAUAGGUGUUCUUCGGUUACAAUGGUCUUUCGGGUGGUGGUGGAUGAGGUUGAGCUUGAAGGAAGUAGGGUUUCAAUGUGAAACUAUAAUUACUGUUUGAUUUAAGCUUUGAGUGGAGGUUGGGAAUUGCAUAAGCAAUAACACAAUUAGGAUUUUCUCAUUUUUUUUUUAAUUCUGUUUUUGAUUUGGGUACUUAUAGGAUUAGAGUUAGGUUUAGAAUUUAAGUCAGAUUGUAUUUUAGGAAGUUUGUAACUUUAUCUUAUUAUGAUUUGAUUCAAUUAGCAAUUAGAGUUUCUGAUCUGCAAUGUAUCUGGUAUGUAUUGCUUGUAAAAUAUAAUAUGUAAUGUUUUUGUGAAUGAAAAAGGAAGGUUUUGAUUAA